GUGCUAAUUCAGCAACACAUAUACUAAUAUUGGAACAAUACAGAGAAAAGUAGCAUGGGCCCUGUGUAAGGAUGACAUGCAAAUUCGUGAAGCCCCUUAUUUUU
ensembl:snRNA U6 U6 spliceosomal RNA